UACGUAGGGGCGAGCGUUGUCCGGAUUUAUUGGGCGUAAAGAGCUCGUAGGCGGUUCGGUAAGUCAGAUGUAAAAACUCCAGGCUCAACUUGGAGAGGCCAUCUGAUACUGCCGUGACUAGAGUCCGGUAGAGGAGCACGGAAUUCCUGGUGUAGCGGUGAAAUGCGCAGAUAUCAGGAGGAACACCAGCGGCGAAGGCGGUGCUCUGGGCCGGAACUGACGCUGAGGAGCGAAAGCGUGGGGAGCGAACAGG
rnacentral:rRNA from 1 species